UACGAAGGGGGCUAGCGUUGCUCGGAAUCAUUGGGCGUAAAGCGCACGUAGGCGGCUUCUUAAGUCAGGGGUGAAAUCCUGGAGCUUAACUCCAGAACUGCCUUUGAUACUGAGGAGCUUGAGUCCGGGAGAGGUGAGUGGAACUGCGAGUGUAGAGGUGAAAUUCGUAGAUAUUCGCAAGAACACCAGUGGCGAAGGCGGCUCACUGGCCCGGUACUGACGCUGAGGUGCGAAAGCGUGGGGAGCAAACAGG
rnacentral:rRNA from 1 species